rnacentral:rRNA from 1 species
CAACUUUCAACAACGGAUCUCUUGGCUCUCGCAUCGAUGAAGAACGCAGCGAAAUGCGAUAAGUAAUGUGAAUUGCAGAAUUCAGUGAAUCAUCGAAUCUUUGAACGCACCUUGCGCCCCUUGGUAUUCCGAGGGGCAUGCCUGUUUGAGUGUCAUGUC